rnacentral:rRNA from 1 species
AUUGAACGCUGGCGGCAUGCUUUACACAUGCAAGUCGAACGGUAACAGGCCGCAAGGUGCUGACGAGUGGCGAACGGGUGAGUAAUGCAGCGGAACGUGCCCAGUCGUGGGGGAUAACGCAGCGAAAGCUGCGCUAAUACCGCAUACGAUCUAUGGAUGAAAGCGGGGGACCGUAAGGCCUCGCGCGAUUGGAGCGGCCGAUGUCAGAUUAGGUAGUUGGGGGGGUAAAGGCUAACCAAGCCAACGAUCUGGAGCUGGUCUGAGAGGACGACCAGCCACACUGGGACUGAGACAAGGCCCAGACUCCUACGGGAGGCAGCAGUGGGGAAUUUUGGACAAUGGGCGCAAGCCUGAUCCAGCAAUGCCGCGUGCAGGAAGAAGGCCUUCGGGUUGUAAACUGCUUUUGUACGGAACGAAACGGUCCGGGUUAAUACCCUGGGCUAAUGACGGUACCGUAAGAAUAAGCACCGGCUAACUACGUGCCAGCAGCCGCCGUAA